UAGGGAAUCUUCGGCAAUGGGGGCAACCCUGACCGAGCAACGCCGCGUGAGUGAAGAAGGUUUUCGGAUCGUAAAGCUCUGUUGUAAGAGAAGAACGUGUGUGAGAGUGGAAAGUUCACACAGUGACGGUAACUUACCAGAAAGGGACGGCUAACUACGUGCCAGCAGCCGCGGUAAUACGUAGGUCCCGAGCGUUGUCCGGAUUUAUUGGGCGUAAAGCGAGCGCAGGCGGUUUAAUAAGUCUGAAGUUAAAGGCAGUGGCUUAACCAUUGUUCGCUUUGGAAACUGUUAAACUUGAGUGCAGAAGGGGAGAGUGGAAUUCCAUGUGCAGCGGUGAAAUGCGUAGAUAUAUGGAGGAACACCGGUGGCGAAAGCGGCUCUCUGGUCUGUAACUGACGCUGAGGCUCGAAAGCGUGGGGAGCAAACAGG
rnacentral:rRNA from 1 species